CCUACGGGAGGCAGCAGUGAGGAAUAUUGGUCAAUGGGCGCAAGCCUGAACCAGCCAAGUCGCGUGAGGGAUGACGGUCCUAUGGAUUGUAAACCUCUUUUGUCGGGGAGCAAGGCCCGCCACGUGUGGCGGGAAGGAGAGUACCCGAAGAAAAAGCAUCGGCUAACUCCGUGCCAGCAGCCUCGGUAAUACGGAGGAUGCGAGCGUUAUCCGGAUUUAUUGGGUUUAAAGGGUGCGUAGGCGGAAGGUUAAGUCAGCGGUAAAAUGUCGGUGCUCAACACCGGCCUGACGUGGAAACUGGUCUUCUUGAGUGAGCGAGAAGUAUGCGGAAUGCGUGGUGUAGCGGUGAAAUGCAUAGAUAUCACGCAGAACUCCGAUUGCGAAGGCAGCAUACCGGCGCUCAACUGACGCUGAGGCACGAAAGCGUGGGGAUCGAACAGGAUUAGAUACCCCAGUAGUC
rnacentral:rRNA from 1 species